rnacentral:lncRNA from 1 species
CUCGCCUCACCCGACACCUUGGAGCCCCGUCUCCCCUCGCCUCACCCGACACCUUGGAGCCCCCUCUCCCCUCGCCUCACCCGACACCUUGGAGCCCCGUCUCCCCUCGCCUCACCCGACACCUUGGAGCCCCCUCUCCCCUCGCCUCACCCGACACCUUGGAGCCCCGUCUCCCCUCGCCUCACCCGACACCUUGGAGCCCCCUCUCCCCUCGCCUCACCCGACACCUUGGAGCCCCCUCUCCCCUCGCCUCACCCGACACCUUGGAGCCCCCUCUCCCCUCGCCUCACCCGACACCUUGGAGCCCCCUCUCCCCUCGCCUCACCCGACACCUUGGAGCCCCCUCUCCCCUCGCCUCACCCGACACCUUGGAGCCCCGUCUCCCCUCGCCUCACCCGACACCUUGGAGCCCCCUCUCCCCUCGCCUCACCCGACACCUUGGAGCCCCCUCUCCCCUCGCCUCACCCGACACCUUGGAGCCCCCUCUCCCCUCGCCUCACCCGACACCUUGGAGCCCCCUCUCCCCUCGCCUCACCCGACACCUUGGAGCCCCCUCUCCCCUCGCCUCACCCGACACCUUGGAGCCCCGUCUCCCCUCGCCUCACCCGACACCUUGGAGCCCCCUCUCCCCUCGCCUCACCCGACACCUUGGAGCCCCGUCUCCCC